GAGGAGACUUGACUCCUUGGAUGUCCACCGGCGAAUACAAGUCUGAGAGGUUUAACGGCGGCGAGAUUCGCCGGUACGAAAUCAUAUGACGAAUGUUUCGGCCGUCGGAUCGGAUUAGAAAACCGGAUCUGGUUUUGGUAUUGGACCAUACAAACAAAGACCAUCCUUUUUCACUUUUGGGCUUUUUCAGCCCACGGGCCUCUGUUUUUAAGGUGGGGGAAGGAUUGAUGCCGAGUUUAAUGAAACAAAAGCCUUUCUAGUGAAUAACGGUAAGUCGGUAACGUUGUAGCCAGCCAUGGCAUCACCGGUCUUGGGAUCGAACCAAUUGGUCUGAUCAAAUUAUGUAAUUAUGUAUAUCUCUAUACUUUCUCUAAAUUGAUAAAUACUAAUCUUCAAUUUUUUAUUGAAAACAAAAGCUAUUUAUGUUCGUUCAUAAUUCUUUUUUUUUUCUGAGAGCAGCUACAAAUUUUAUUGAUAAAAUAAAAGAAUUCAGAUUUCAUUUAAUUAUAAAAACAUAUGACAUCUUUUAUGGAAACGAAUUACUACUGCUUUUAUUACAAGAUGUGUUUCAAAGGGCAUUGUGGGUCUGAAUAUAUAAGAGCAACAAAAUCUGAAAUUGGUUGGCUUUGGAAAUCAAAUCCAUUGUUAUUCCUUUGGAAAGUUCUCCUAAACAGCAUUUUUAAAGUUUUUGUCAACUAUUUUUGUGAAAAUAAACUAAAAAAAGCUAUCUUAGAAAAUUUCUCUAUUCUAUUCUCCUUUCCUUAUGCAGUAUAUGAAUCUUUUAGCUUUCCUAAUCAUAGUAAGAUUAUCAAUUCUCUUUAUAGCUAUUGGUUAUAAAUCAAAAAGGAAAAGGAGAUAAAAUUGUUAAUUCUGAUCUAACCUUAACCUAUUGUUUCUUCUUUCCUUUCAAAAUAAUUUCAUUUAUCCUAGAAAAAAAGAAGAUACAUAUAUAUUG